rfam:Camelus ferus unplaced genomic scaffold scaffold316, whole genome shotgun sequence.
GAAGGUAUAGCUCGAGUGGUAGAGUGCAUGCUUAAUAUGCAUAAGGUCCUGGGUUCAAUCCCCAAUACCUCCU